GGCAAUAUGGCCGAGCGGUCUAAGGCGCUGGAAUCAGGUAUCACCUCAUCCAGUCCGAAAGGGCGUGGGUUCGAAUCCCACUGUUGUCA